CAGCUGAUAACCACGUGACUAAUGUAUUUAAGUCAUGAAUUUGGAUGAUUCAUCCCUUUACAUUGUUAAACGUUUUACCAUAUGUUACUAAUUUUUCUAAUUUAAAAUUUUUAUUUAUUAUAAUUUUUAAUAGGAGUAACUGGAAUAUGUACAAGGCUGCAAAUAUUAUCAACGAAUUGUGUUAAGUCACUAUUUUCUUGGAUCAAAUCUAGCUGAUCACUUUUUAGUUUAUCUUCGAUAUCAGUCGGCCACUGUUGCAACAAAGUAUCAAUAUCAGGCAUCGGUUGAGUCAGUCUUACAGUAGGAAUGGGUUUGCUUCGAUGCAACUGAUUAAUGUCUUCAAUCCACUUAUCGAUGGCUUUAGGAUUUUUCUCAGCAUCCUCAAUCCUUUUUAUCACCACAUGUUUACGAGCAUCCGCACUUUUGCUCUGACUUCGCAGCUGAAGAUGCAAAACUGCUGGUUCUGACUGAUUUGCGCAUGGUUCAUCUAAUACAACUAGACCAACUUUGUCAUCUACUCCAUCAGGUCUAGGUACUUUGAUAAAGGCAUCAAUAUCUCCAACAGCCGGUAUAAAGUCUGGGAUGUAAGGGGCAAGCUUAUAAUUCAAUUCAAUCCUCUGAGGUGUAUAUCUUUAAUAAAAUAAAUAAAACAAUUAAUAAUCAA